CCCCUACCAGAACCCUCGAUUCGAGGGGCGGGGCACCUCGAGCGGACGCUCCGCGGCGAGGUGAUCGAGCGAACUCACCGAGCACCACCAGCGCCGCACCCCCAACACACCACCCGGCGGGCGGCGCCGCCGCGAGAUCUCGUGGCCUUCCACAGGCGCCGGCGCCUCCGUCCGCGGCACGAACCCCCUAGGGCUUUCUUCCUCACUACUCGCGCUGCGCGGAGGCGAUCAGGCGGAGGCGGCGAUCAGGCGAGGCGGCUGGAGACUAAGGGUUUCUCUCUCCUCUGCCCCUCUCUUAUCUCUCCCCUCGCGGUCGGCUCGGUAAUGGCUUCUCUCUUCG
rnacentral:misc_RNA from 1 species